rfam:Melampsora larici-populina 98AG31 unplaced genomic scaffold MELLAscaffold_22, whole genome shotgun sequence.
GCGCUGUUGGUGUAGCGGUUAGCAUUGAAGCCUUCCAUCGUGAACAGCUUUAGUCCGGGGUUCGAAUCCCCGACAGUGCA